rnacentral:rRNA from 1 species
AUUGAACGCUGGCGGCAUGCUUUACACAUGCAAGUCGAACGGCAGCGCGGGCUUCGGCCUGGCGGCGAGUGGCGAACGGGUGAGUAAUACAUCGGAACGUGCCCAGUAGUGGGGGAUAGCUCGGCGAAAGCCGGAUUAAUACCGCAUACGACCUGAGGGUGAAAGCGGGGGAUCUUCGGACCUCGCGCUAUUGGAGCGGCCGAUGGCAGAUUAGCUAGUUGGUGGGGUAAAGGCCUACCAAGGCGACGAUCUGUAGCUGGUCUGAGAGGACGACCAGCCACACUGGGACUGAGACACGGCCCAGACUCCUACGGGAGGCAGCAGUGGGGAAUUUUGGACAAAGGGCGAAAGCCUGAUCCAGCAAUGCCGCGUGUGUGAUGAAGGCCUUCGGGUUGUAAAGCACUUUUGGCGGGAACGAAAAGGACUGUGCCAAUACCACGGUUCGAUGACGUUACCCGCAGAAUAAGCACCGGCUAACUACGUG